AUUGAACGCUGGCGGCAGGCCUAACACAUGCAAGUCGAACGAGUGGCGGACGGGUGAGUAAUGUCUGGGAAACUGCCUGAUGGAGGGGGAUAACUACUGGAAACGGUGGCUAAUACCGAUAACCGUCAGAUGGGCCAAGAGGUGAUUAGCUUGUUGGUGGGGUAACGGCGAACCAAGGCGACGAUCCCUAGCUGGUCUGAGAGGAUGACCAGCCACACUGGAACUGAGACACGGGCCAGACUCCUACGGGAGGCAGCAGUGGGGAAUCUUGCACAAUGGGCGCAAGCCUGAUGCAGCCAUGCAGCGUGUAUGAAGAAGGCCUUCGGGUUGUAAAGUACUUUCAGCGGGGAGGCGUUACCCGAAGAAGAAGCACCGGCUAACUCCGUGCCAGCAGCCGCGGUAAUUC
rnacentral:rRNA from 1 species